CGGGGCUUCCGGUCGGGGCACAGGGGCUUCCGCCGCCGCGGCGCCUCGGAUGGCCGCGCUCCGGCUAUCGCUCGCGGCCUCGCUCGCGGCCGCCCGCGCCCGGCCGCCCCUCGGCCGCCGCCCGCCGCCCGCGCCCUGCUCCGCGUCGGCCGGCGCCAUGGAGCCUGAGCCCCGCUGGCUGGCGGGGCUGCGCUUCGACAACCGUGCCCUGCGCGCGCUGCCGGUGGAGACGCCGCCGUCUGGCCCCGAGGGCGCCCCGUCCGCGCCGCGGCCCGUGCCCGGCGCCUGCUUCAGCCGCGUGCGGCCCGCGCCCCUGCGGCAGCCGCGCGUCGUGGCGCUGUCGGAGCCCGCGCUGGCGCUGCUGGGCCUGGGCGCGCCGCCCGCCGACGCCGCCGCCCGCGAGGCUCGUGAGGCCGAGGCCGCGCUCUUUUUCAGCGGCAACGCGCUGCUGCCGGGCGCCGAGCCCGCCGCGCACUGCUAUUGCGGCCACCAGUUCGGCCAGUUCGCCGGGCAGCUGGGCGACGGCGCCGCCAUGUACCUGGGCGAGGUGUGCACGGCGGCCGGCGAGCGCUGGGAGCUGCAGCUCAAGGGCGCCGGCCCCACGCCCUUCUCCAGACAGGCCGACGGUCGCAAGGUGCUGCGCUCGAGCAUCCGCGAGUUCCUAUGCAGUGAGGCCAUGUUCCACCUGGGCAUCCCCACCACGCGGGCCGGCGCCUGUGUCACGUCCCAGUCCACCGUAGAGCGGGACGUGUUCUACGACGGCAACCCCAGGCCCGAGCAGUGCGCGGUCGUGCUGCGCGUGGCCCCCACGUUCCUCAGGUUCGGAUCCUUUGAGAUCUUCAAGUCCUCGGACGAGCACACGGGGCGCGCCGGCCCCAGCGUGGGGAGGAACGACAUCCGAGUGCAGAUGCUUGACUAUGUCAUCAGCACUUUCUACCCCGAGAUCCAGGCCACUCAGGCCAGCGACAGCGUGCAGAGACACGCCGCCUUCUUCCGGGAGGUGACGCGGCGCACGGCCCAGCUGGUGGCUGAGUGGCAGUGCGUGGGCUUCUGCCACGGCGUGCUCAACACGGACAACAUGAGUAUCGUGGGGCUCACCAUCGACUACGGGCCCUUCGGCUUCCUGGACAGGUACGACCCCGACCACGUGUGCAACGCCUCCGACACCGCCGGGCGCUACUCGUACAGCAGGCAGCCCGAGGUGUGCAAGUGGAAUCUGCAGAAGCUGGCGGAGGCCCUGGACCCCGCGCUGCCCCUCGAGCUGGCCGAGGCCAUCCUGGCGGAGGAGUUCGAUGCCGAGUUCCGCAGGCACUACUUGCAGAAGAUGCGCUGGAAGCUGGGCCUUGUGCGGGCUGAGCGGGAGGAGGACAGCGCCCUGGUGGCCAGGCUCCUGGAGACCAUGCACCUGACGGGUGCUGACUUCACAAACUCCUUCCACCUGCUGAGCUCCUUCCCAGCCGGGCCGGAGCCUCCGGACCUGGACGAGUUCCUGACUGCGCUGACUGCACAGUGUGCCUCCCUGGAGGAGCUGAGGCUCGCCUUCCGACCCCAGAUGGAUCCCCGGCAGCUGUCCAUGAUGCUCAUGCUGGCGCAGUCGAACCCGCAGCUUCUGGCGCUCAUCGGCACGCGGGCGAGCUUGGCGCGGGAGCUGGAGCGCGUGGAGCGGCAGUCGCGGCUGGAGCAGCUGAGCCCGGCCGAGCUGCACAGCAAGAACAGGAGCCGCUGGGCCGAGUGGCUCCUGGAGUACAGAGCCCGGCUGGAGAAGGAUCAGGAGGCCGCCGGCGACACCGCUGCCUGGCAGGCCGAGCGCAUGCGCGUCAUGCACGCGAACAACCCCAAGUACGUCCUGAGGAACUACAUCGCGCAGGGCGCCAUCGAGGCCGCCGAGAGCGGAGACUUCUCAGAGGUGCGGCGGGUGCUGAAGCUGCUGGAGACCCCUUACCGCGGGGAGGGGGAGGCCGCCGAGGCCGAGGAGGCCAGUGGGGAGGCCGGUGGGGCAGCCAGCCGACGGCACUCGUACAGCAGCAAGCCCCCGCUCUGGGCGGCGGAGCUGUGUGUGACGUGAUCGUCGUAA